AAGACUUCGAUCAUUUGGAGAGAGAUCAUUCAUUAGAAUAUCGACAUCCGUAUAGAGUUGAUCGCUGAUUCAUCGUCAUGUGUUUUAAAACAAAAUGUGGAGGGUGUGGAAAAUCAACUUGGGCAGGUUGCGGGAACCACAUAGAGAGUGCUCUGAAGGACGUUCCCGUCAAUGAGCGAUGCAAGUGCCCGCGGGAUACCAAGAAGUAAGCGGCAAGAUGCUCCAUUCAGUGAGGAAAGCUUUGGAAAUCCCGGAUUUUUUAAUUGAUAAUUAUUCUUUUUAUGUCUCAUCUGUAAAUAUGUUGAUUAAUUGCAAUUCGUUGAUUUACACAUUUAUUUAAGUCAAUAAACUACAAAUCAAACUGCAA